AGCGCACGGAUAUCGGUGAGCAUUUCACCCGGGGGGUUAUCCAGAGUUAUCGUAUUUAUAUUUUUACCACUGGGAGAAAGGGUGCAUCUGACUAACCAAAUCUAUUGCUACUAUCCCUUUAUGCUACAAAGAAUGUUUCUCGAUGUGAGUGAUGUAUAGAGAAGACUGCAACCGUAGUCUCGUUCUAACCUUGGUAAGGAUGAUCUACUGUUCUUCUGAUUGUCUUGGAUUGUGUUGAGAGAUAAUGUGUGUAUGACCUGUCCUCUAGGGGACCCUGCCCCUCCUUAUAUAUCCUGAAGAGACAAAGUUACAAGCAAAGUAUCCUAUUUGGUACAAUAUCUUGUAGCCUUGCGGUGCACGCCGACCAGUCGUGCACCGCACGUCUUCAUCCUGUGGGCCGAGCCACCUCUGAUGGUGCGGCCCAUAUAGGCCCAUGAGGGUAUAGGGGUUUAUACCCCCACACCUAGCUUUUAUAUUAAAGUUCUUCCAGGAAUUACUAAAACUAAAAUUUACGAUCUAUGGGAUGCAUGAACCUAAAACUAAAGUCUAGGUAAGAGAAGGACAUGAUAUAAAGUUUGAGCUACUGUUUAUCUUGUUCCUACUACACUAAGUUGUGGAGAUUUAUUUUGAAAACUUACAAAUCACAUGAUGAGUUCCUAGCAUGACAAAAAUUCCUACCACAGCCAUACUUGCUAUAAUAUCUUUUGCUACUUAUAUUCACAUUGAGUUUGAUCGAGCUGUGUAGACCCUUAGGAGCUUUUCAUGUGGUUAAAUUAAGAUAUUCACUUGCACACGUCUACUACACCAUCCACCACCAUUCAUUAAAAUUGCUAAAAAAUAUUAUCACUCACUGUCCCAAGUGUUUUUAUUCUCUCUCUCCAAAAAGAUUCAAUGCAGAAGAGGCAUGGGUUAUGCAAAAAUAUACGAGAAAAUAAAAAAGGGCAAGUGCCCGGAACCUCGAAAAAGAAAGAAAAAGAGUGAGACAAGAGGUAAAAAUGGACAAGUGUCCGGAGUAGAAUUAGGGGUACAAAGAUGCCCACCUGAGCGGAAAGAAUGGACAAGUGUCCGACAGUAGAAUUAGGGGUAUUUACUACCCACCUGAAAAAAAAGAAGAAAGAAGAGAUAGCCUAUGUUCUCCCAAAGCAAAGAUCAAAGAGGAGGAGAGAUAUCAAUAUGAGGAGCAAUGAGAAGUAAGCUUUAUCAUUACUUAUAUUUUCACCAUUACUAUCAUUUACUCCACCACACAUGCACAUCUUGAUUUAAUUACAUGUUGAGUUCCUUCGGAUCCAUGGCUCGAUUAGGCAACAUAUGUAUGAGCUAUUUUUCACACCUAUGAGCUCCACGUAAACAUCCCCUUAAGUUAUAGGUAAGUGACAUUCUUGGUAAGGAUCCACAAAUACCAUAUAUAGAGAGAUUUGAGAGUAUCAUAUCUGGGAACUCUAAGCUUUAUUUUUGAAAACUUAUACAAAAC
rnacentral:lncRNA from 1 species